rnacentral:rRNA from 1 species
GACAGAGGCCACAAGCGUUAGGCGGAAUCACUGGGCUUAAAGCGUGUGUAGGCGGAUGGCUAAGUGCCUUGUGAAAUCCCCCGGCUCAACCGGGGAAUGGCUGGGCAUACUGGUCGUCUUGAGCCACCUAGGGGCAACUGGAACGAACGGUGGAGCGGUGAAAUGCGUUGAUAUCGAUAGGAACUCCGGUGGCGAAGGCGGCAUACUGGACCACCACUGACGCUGAUGCGCGAAAGCCAGGGGAGCAAACGGG